rnacentral:piRNA from 1 species
UGAGAAACUUUAGGACAUGCACCUGUG